rnacentral:lncRNA from 1 species
CAGUGAAGGUGAAUGGAUUUGUUUGCAAGGAUCCUAUGGCUGUGAACGCUGACGACUUCUUCAAGGCUGCAAAACUUGAUCAGCCAAGGGACACCACCAAAAGCAAGGUGGGAUCCAACGUUACUCUGAUCAAUGUCAUGCAGCUGCCUGGACUCAACACGUUGGGGAUCUCGUUGGCUCGCAUUGACUACGCACCAUUAGGUCAGAAUCCUCCACACACACACCCACGUGCCACUGAGAUCCUCACCGUGCUUGAAGGGACACUCUACGUCAGAUUUGUCACCUCCAACCAAGCUGACAGAAGCAACAAGCUAUUUGCCAAGGUUCUCAACAAGGGCGAUGUGUUUGUAUUCCCCCAAGGACUAAUCCACUUCCAGUUCAAUCCAGUACAUGACAAGCCAGCAGUCGCGCUCGCUGCUCUAAGUAGCCAGAACCCUGGAGCUAUUACUAUUGCCAAUGCAGUCUUUGGAUCAAAGCCACCUAUCUCGGAUGAUGUCCUAGCUAAGGCCUUUCAGGUGCAAAAGGGGACAAUUGAUUGGCUUCAAGCUCAGUUCUGGGAGAACAACCACUACUGAAAAAAUCAAUUCUGAGUUCAACAUAUGAGAAUAAAGAAAUGUACUUGUAUUUUACAUACUACUCUAUGUGUUAACCUUUUUCUAGGUUGUGGCUGAUAAUAAAAUAAAUGUUACUCUAUCAUACUAGAUAUGAAACAUUAACUUAGUUUAGUAAUACACGAAUAGUCGGUUAUUACGAAGAAAUCACUCCCCUACAUCUAUAGGAAAGGAUAAGUCCUAAAUUCAACCAGGAGUGACCAAAAAAGCUCAUAUUUAUGACAAGGCAUGAGCUCGAGCUAAAUUUUGGCAGAACAACCCGGAUGUUCUCCAUUUACAUGCCUGAAAAUGCUGCAACAGAGAACAAAGGGGUUCUUCUGAAAUUACGCACGGGCACAUGUCUUUUUAUAAAUAUGAGCUCUAUCGGUCACUCUGAGGCUGUCCAAUAAAGGGACAAUCCUUCCCCAACAUACGUCAUAUGCAUCCCAUGUGAGGUGUGUUGGACCAAAAUGGGUGAUGCGCAGAUUCGGUUCCAUUUGUUAACUCUAUGAUACACACAUUUACGCUACAUCCAUCGAUCGAUAUUAUAUAAUUCAACUAAUAAAACACCAAUACAAUGUUUUAUACUACAUAACAUUGUUUUGGGUGAAAAUAAUGUUAAAUGACCUUAUUUCCAAAGGUUUAAUAAUUACCAUUAGAAAUUACAUAUUUAAGUUAUUUAAGCACACUAAAUGAACUAAAACAAUCUAUAUAAACUACACAAUCACCACUAGGGUCGUCAAAUAUAUACAACACACAUAUUUCAUACAAACAAAUAAUCAAUCAAUGCAUGUAAUUAUAAAGCAAAUGGUCUUACUUCGGGAGGCAGUGCGAUGUUGUGGAAGGUGGGGAGGCACUCUGGAAGGCGUGCGAUGGACGAGGUGACGCUGAGAGAGGUUGGCGGAGCUUCGGGAGGCGUGUGGUGGGUGGUCGUGCCCUGGCGGAUGGCGCUACGGGCGACGGUGGCUUCGAUGGAGCUUCGAGAGGCGUAUGGUGGGUGGCAGCGCCCCGACGGAUGGCGCUACGGGCGGCGACAACUUCAGCUCCAGCGGACGUGGCAUCGACGAACGAGUGCGGGCGUGGCUUCUACAUGGCGAUAAGGGCGACGACGACGAACAACUUUGGCAGGGCACGAAGCCGGGGAUGGGCCGAGAGAGGGCACGGGUCGUAGGCGAUCGCGGGGCGACAACGACAGGUCAAGCGGAUGCAGCAUACGACGUGAGAGAGAGCAGGCGGCCACGCGUGGGGAGAGAAAGUGAAACGACGUGGUCGGGCGUUGUUUCCUUAAAUCGACGUAUGUACAACGACGUGUCUGGCAGCUAUGGGACAUAAGGAUUACUAGUCGGUUGCACGUGCGUUGCGGCGGCUCACAACAAUACCCACGUAAACUAUCCACCAAAAAGAUUUCAAGAUCUUUUAUUGAUUGUCUCCGCUCUCCACAUAAUAUUUUUUAUUUAACUAACUGAUGUUGUUGUUUACUCCAUACAAUAUGUCUUGGUACAACACGGCCAAUGAAGAGAGUGAUUAGAAGAGAUUUCACAACGACCGAUUGAACGAAUAUAGAUUAUAGAAUGACAUAAUUCCACCAUACAGAGACCAAAUAAGAGAAAGUUUGUGAGCUCAAGUUUCUAAAAUAAGUCACAUGAACUCAAACUUAUAAAAAAGAUAGAUCAAAAUAUGGAUUGGUUACUAAAGUCAGUCAUCAAUAAAAAUUGGAUGCGCUCCAUACAAAUUAUGGUACUUCAUAACAAUUACUAACGUUCGAAAUCAACAAAUAACCUUUCAUUUUAUUGCUAGGGUGACAAAUCAUUGCUACUCCAUCCAAUUUAGCAACCUCAAACACCAUGGAGUCCAUUGCGCCAAUGUGGUCUCAGAGACAACAUAAUGCAUGCAAGAGCUAAGAACACAAUGGACAAGCACCCUGUGAUAGUUCCCUCAUGGAUCUCCAAAUCCUAACACAUAUUUUGCAGGAUCCAUGAACCAUCAUAAGAAAAAUACAAACCACGUGCAAACAGUAAAUAAAGUAUUAACACACCCAAAUUAUGUUCAGUCAUUAGCACAACAAAAACUUAACACCCAAAACAACAGCGAAACAACACAAUAUUUUUUGCAAUGACAGAAGGAUGGGUGAUAGGUACAUAGAAGUGGUAGAAGCAUACCGAGUCGACACCGUGGUAAGGGAAAGGCCAUGUAGACAGGCGAUGUCGAGCCAACGAACAGGUACCAGGCAGCAAAUGAGAGACUCACAUCCCUCGCCUCCCCCACUUCUAAGGUUUCGUAGAGCUGGAAGGGAAGGGAAGAGGCAGGCAUACCUAUUCAUUGCCGGAGAAGGACACGACAAAGACCUAGGCAUCUAGAGGCAACAUAGGUAGUAUAUCGCUAGAUACAUAUAGGGAGAGAGCACAUAAGUGGAGAAAAAAGCCUAGGGGAGCGGCUCCAAACCGAGAGGCAUCCGCACUAGGCGCCAGCCCGAGAAGGGCGAGAGAAUGCGAGUGCCUCCCCAGCCCUAGACCCGCCAAAGCAACACAACAACACCACCAACUUCGUAGCAUAUGCCGACUGCUAUCGCGCCAUGGGCCUUGGUUGUCCAAUAUCUCAGACCUGGACUCCUCAUAGCCAAGAUAACCUAAGCGUGGUAGACGCCACCGUGUCCUCCUCGGAGGUACGCACGAAGAAAGGCUAGGAGCAAGACCGACUCGCCCAUACUCGUGUCGACGAGCGUCGGUGGGCUCGUGGUUGCGACCGUGGGCGGGGGCAACAGGUUGGGGAGGAAGAACAGGGUGAAGGUCGGGAAGAUGAACGGGACGUCCGAGGACGGUAAAAACGAUGGUGCGCACAUGCUGUGAAACGUCUUUGUGGACGUGCAAUAUCCAAUGCGCGGGUCGGUGUCGGGGCUGGUGUCGGACGAAUACGGGGAGGAGGCGGCUGCUCUCACGCCCUCUGCCGAGAAUGGGGUGGCACAGAGACGGAGGCAUGAGGGGAGAGAGAAAAGAAGUUGGAUGGCGAACGAGGUCGCGACAACUGAGGCGAAGACCAUCAUUACCGUGUGGAGGUAUAGAUGGCCAAAUGGGUCGUGUCUGGUGGCUUGGCCCGGGGCACGACCCAUUUAAUAUUGCCUGGGCCAGUCCCGCACGAGCGUCGUGCCGUGCUUGGGCCCGUAGUGCUGGCCCGAUCCGACACAAUUAUUUUUUUAUCUUACAAAAAAUCAUAUAUAUAUAUAUGUACAAUUUAUAUUCAAUAUUAAAAAUACCCGAGCAUGAUGUUCUACUGGUUAGAUAGCUUCAACAAGUGUCUCCCGCCCUUUUUCCAUUAUGGUGUGGGUUCGAACCCCCUCCUGCAGCGUUUUAGAGAUAGAGAUAGAGAUGUAUGACGAAGACAAGCCGUCAGAUAUUAUGUUAUGUCCGACGGCCCAAGGAAACCGUUGGACAUUAGUAUUACUUACGACUGGUGUCCUUGAGACCACGGAAAUAAGCAAGCACAGUCAGAUGUUUCUUUGUUUCAUGUUGUGCACGAUAGGUAAUAAAAAUUUAUCUGCCAUUGCUAACCAUGACGAAAGAAUGAGGCUCGGAGUCGAAAGAAAAGCACAAUUUUAUUUGCCUCGACGUUUUUUAUUGUAAGUUAUUGUAGUGGGAGUCCCUACAUUAUUUUUUGUAUCAAAGAAUGAGUAUCUAUAGGUUAUAUGUGGGAUCGAGAGAGAGAGAGGUUACAAUGUUUGGGAGUCCCUACGAACAGUUGAGCAUAGUAUCUCCCUCUUGAACAAUUCUUUACAGUUUUAUUAUAUAAUUGUUUCUGCAUUUCUAGAUACAUAAUUUUAUUUGCCUCGAUGUUUUUUAUUGUAAGUUAUUAUAGUGGGAGUUCCUACAUUAUUUUUUAUAUCAAAGAAUGAGUAACUAUAGGUUAUAUGUGGGAUCGAGAGAGAGAGGUUACAAUGUUUGUGUCUAUAGACUAACGGAGUGUUUUGUUAUAUAACAGUUGAGCAUAGUAUCUCCCUCUUGAACAAUUCUUUACAAUUUUUUACAAUUCUUUAUAGUUUUAUUAUAUAACUUUUUCUGCAUUUCUAGAUACAUAAUUUUAUUUGUCUCGACGUUGACAAGUACAAUAGAGAUUAGAUUAAAUUGAACAGUUCUACUACAGGGACAUAGGACCCUGUCAUGCUGGAGGUCAAGGAGUUGGUGCCCGCCAUUACUCUAAAGCUACGUACUAAGAAGAAGUCAAGUGCUUGCUUGAUCUAGCUAGUAAAACGUGUACGACACAUGUUGGUUUGGUGGAACUGACACAUAUUAUAUUCCACAAGACGAACAAGCAAAAAUGCUGUCACAUGUUGGUUCGGCUGAGAAACAGUAGCAUAGUGGUUGAAGGACGAACCUGCCUGGUGAGUUGAAGGAGCCUGCCCGGUGCACAACUCAAAAGAAAAGCCAUAGUUUUCUCUAUGUCGAUGUCGACAAGUAAAUAGAGAUUAGAUUAUAUUAAACUGGACGUGGUUCUACCACAGUAGCAUAGUGGUUGAUCGGCAUGGGAACCGUCUACGGGGGAGAACGCUAUUAUUGCCAUUGCCAUUAGAACAGGAGGUGGAGGAUCAACGUUGUUGCGUUGCGACGGAACAUAAAUAUUCAAUAAAAUUUUAAAACGCAGCAAUUUUCACUAGCGGUUUUAUUACCUCGACUGCCACUAAAAAUCGAUUUUUACUGGUGGUUUUCGUAGCUCGACCGCUAGUAGAAAUCGUUUCCACUGGCGGUUCUCAGUUACCGGUCGAUUGAUCACAUUCAGCUAGUGAGGUGGUACUACGUGGGAGAGCUACGCUACGUGGCUUCCUAUUAUGUUGGGCUUAGAGAUGGCAACGGGGACCCAAUCCUUGAUUCCCUGUGGGGAAUUCUUCUAUUAGGGGAAGGGGAUGGGGAAGUUUCUUCCCCCACGGGGAUGUAAACGGAGAAAAAUUCUUCCCCGACGGGUAAAUGGGGAUGGGAAUGGAGAAGUAUUCUCCAUCCCCGUUCCCCGCGGGACGCGUUAAACUUACACGUGACAACGUUUUCAUGUACUAGUUAAUGAUAAAAAUAAAUAAUUACUUUUAUCAAGAGAUCACUCAUUGUACAAAUGUGUUUAUUUUAAUGUACACGUAAUGAUUUAUUACAUCUGACAAUGUGUAGAAGUGACAAUGUUUUACAUUAAUAACAUAUGAAGUGAUGUCACUCAUUGUAGAAGUGACAAGGCGGCCUCCUACCCCUCCUUGUGGUCCCUCUCGGCCACCGGUUUAAGCUAAAAGGCAGCAAUGGGGAAGGUGUGUCAGAGCCAUGUGAGGCUGUGCAACAUAAGCUUGGUGCCGGAGGGGCUGACCUACGAACAUUAUUAUAGGUUGGACAGCGUGGUGGACGGGGCGGCGCUGGCACGACAUGCAUGGAGGGUCGUUGGCGACCAUGCGCAGCAUGGCCGGAGUUUGUUUGCAGCGUGGUGGCGGGUUGCGGCAUCCGACCAUCUGUUCCGGCAAGCCUUGGGGCAAGGGGCGUUUGGGGCAGGCUGCAUUAAUUGACACCUAGGCCAGUGCAUCGUUGGCGACGUCGAAAUCGGGUCGGGGCGCCUUCGACGGAGGUGGCGGUAUGGGGGCUAGGGUUCAAGGGGGAUCAUGGCUAGGGUUGCUGGGGGAUCGAGGCUAGGGUUACAGCCUGGCGGGUGGAUCGGGGCGCGAGAUCGGGUCCCGUUGUUUGCGGGGCUGGGACGGCGGGAUCAGGCACGGAUUCGGCGCUCGGGAUCGUUCAGAUGGUGGGUGAAUCGGAUGACUUUUAUUGCAUAACGGUACCACAGACGACUGAGUUGGUGUAACGGUAGAACGGUUUGGAGCAUCCUACUCCUUGCGGCCUUAAUAAGUAGUAGAGAUUAUACGACGGUAUGGUGGUGCACUUUCGCUUUAUUGACUUAUCUGGCUCUUCUUUUAGGGGGGAGGGGGAGGGGCGGGGGGCAGUUGACUCUUUCUAUAUACGUUGGUGAUUAGUGAGCACAAGAAUAGUUAGUCUGUUUGCUUCUUAGUUGGUCUCUUUCAACGUGCUCCUUAGUUGGUCUCUCUUUGCUUCUAGCACAACAUAUAAGUAAUUGUAUUCUUUCUUUUGUUGAUUUGUUUUUUAAUGACGAAUAAUAUGACUAUUACAGUGUUUGUGAUGGUUCAUUGCACAACCUAAUUAAGUUUUAUGCUACCAUACUUACAUAGAAAGAGUCAACUCACAAAAAUUAUAGAAAUAGUCAGUAACGCUUCUUCGUCUUGUGGAAUAUAUUUCUGUUAGCUCCACACCAAACGAACAUGUGUCGUACAAGUUUUACUAGAUCAAGCACUUGAUUGCUUCUUAAUACGUAGCUUUACACUAAAACGUGAAGGAAGGAUGGCUUAGCAUCAUAUAAAAUACAGAGCAGUUUUUCCCUUGUCGAUCUUUUUUGCUAGAUAUAUAUAUUUUACUAUCCGCCCUUCAGGCUAUCGCUAGCAGCUUCCUAUAUCACCUCUAUCUCACCUUAUUUUCAAACUGCACUAUGUAAACUGUACAUUCGAUCUACGAUACGAAGCAGUGCUUUGCACAGUCAUAUACACGCUCUGCUGAGCACGGCCAUAUCGAUCACUCGCUGUCACGACGCAUUUUUUUGCCGAUUGCUCGAUAUAAAGUACUCGACAAAGUGGCUGUAUAGUGGAAAUGCUGAUUUCCACUGACCCCGCGGUACUGAAAAACGCCAGUGUAAAUAGGUUUAGAACCGCCACUAUAGAGUUUCUGUGUACUAGUGUGUUGCCGAUAAACUGUUCACCGAGCCCUGUUUGCCGAGUAUUACACUCGAUAAAGCGUUUGACAUGUGCCAUCGAGGCUUUGACGAGUGCUCUAGGCACUCCGCAAAGAACACUAUUAUGGUAGUGGUUGUUACAGUUGGUUUGGUGUGAAACUAAAAGACGUAUAUAUUCCACAAUUUGCAAAAGCAAAAAAAGAAAAUGGUGAACAAGCUAGUAAACAUUGCAAACAUUAAUCUGAUAUAUAUGACUCGUCAAGUGAUCACGGAUGACGAAACGGAGAUUGUUGAAUAUAUAUGAGGUGCAAACAGUAAUUAAAGAUAUUAUGUGAGUACGUACAAGAAUAGAUCGUUCAAUGAACCAUUAUCACAGUCCAGCAACAGCAACAAAUUUGUCUUCUCAUGUGCGAGAUGGGGGUAGAAAUGGAUGUCCAAUCGUCCGUUUUUUAUGUAUCCAUCGACUAAUCCUCCAUUAUUUUGCAUUUUAUUAAACAAAUUUUAAAAUUUGGAUCACUAAGUGAUUACUAGAAAUCUUCAAUACGCAGUUCGCUGGAACCUAGCCACUCAAACACACAAAAAGAAAAGAAAGAACACACAAAAGGCAUCGUAGAUUUAAACCGCUGAAAUAAGAUAACUGUACUGUGUCGUCAUCAGCAGGUUCAGGCUGCUAGAGACUAUUUCUUCAGGUCGGCUGAUAGGUUCAACCAAAGACUUAUUCAGCUACUGAUACGUACACGUCACCACAUGCGCUCUGGCAGGCUAUAUAAACCUCACCGUCCCCAUGCCCAAAGCAUCAACAACCAUAGACACAAACACAACAAGCUAAUAAGAAGCUAGGUAGCUGAAUAUUCAGAGAGCACAAACACAAACGCGAGUGCAAAACCAAAUGGCUGCCUCGACCUACUUCCUUCUUGUUGCUUUUCUAGCAUUGGUCACUUCUCAUGCCAUUGCUUCUGAUCCUAGCCCGCUCCAAGACUUCUGUGUUGCCGACAAAGACUCUCCGGGUAUGCGUGCUCUCGUCUUGACUUAUGUUGUGUUCUUAUAAUAAAUACCUGAUUAAAUAAGGUUCAUUUAAUUUGUUCAAAUCACAUCUACAUACAAUAAGCAUUUCUAGGUAUGCAUGGCACAAUGGCCUAUUCUCCAUCUAAUUGCUUGCCUUCGUCUAUGCAUACAGUGAAGGUGAAUGGAUUUGUUUGCAAGGAUCCCAUGGCUGUGAACGCUGACGACUUCUUCAAGGCUGCAAAACUUGACCAGCCAAGGGACACCACCAGUAAGGUGGGAUCCAACGUUACUUUGAUCAAUGUCUUGCAGCUACCUGGACUCAACACGUUGGGCAUCUCGUUGGCUCGUAUUGACUAUGCGCCCUUAGGACAGAAUCCUCCACACACGCACCCACGUGCCACGGAGAUCCUCACCGUGCUUGAGGGGACACUCUACGUCGGAUUUGUCACCUCCAACCAAGCUGACAAAAGCAACAAGCUAUUUGCUAAGGUUCUCAACAAGGGCGAUGUGUUUGUAUUCCCCCAAGGACUAAUCCACUUCCAGUUCAACCCGGUCCCUGACAAGCCAGCAGUCGCGCUCGCUGCUCUAAGUAGCCAGAACCCUGGAGCUAUUACUAUUGCCAAUGCAGUCUUUGGAUCAAAGCCACCUAUCUCAAAUGAUGUACUAGCUAAGGCCUUUCAAGUGCAAAAGGGGACAAUUGAUUGGCUUCAAGCUCAGUUUUGGGAGAACAACCACAACUGAAAAAAUAAAUCAAGUUACGGUUCAUUGUAUGGGAAUAUAAUGUUUAUUUACAUUUUACAUACUACUCUAUGUAUUUGUUUUUUCUAGACUUUCAGCUGAUAAUAAAAUAAAUGGAUUGUAUUUAUGUACUAUAAUUGUAAUUGUGUCCCAACUGUGGUUCUACCACCAUCUCCUUAAUCGAAAGUGCAUGUAUUGUAUAUGGCACUCUCUCGUUUCCCAUUUUAUUGAGAUGGUUCAUAUAUUAAGCCUUCUCUACAACUGCCUACCGUUCAUAUUAUAAGCCAUCUCUAGAACGAUUGACAUAAUUACACCACUCCUAAAAUUCCACUAUUAUCAGGAAUGAUUAUCAUAAAAGAAUUGUCCUUAAAGAUCACAUUUCAUGGGUGGAUUCUUAUGCCAACCGUUCUUGAAAAAGAGAAGAUUUCUACUCAAAAGGUGCUAGCUAGAAUGGUCGAGGACCAAAAAAAAUUCAUAGAUUUUCAAAUAUAGUCAUUAAGUGACAAGCUUUAUAUCAAAUUUGUAAAGCCCAACAAAAUCUAAAACUUUAUAGGUAACAACUUUUUAUUUAAGACCAUUUACAGACCUAAAUAUAUGUUUUGUCUUCGAAGAGUUGAAAAUCUAGACUUUCAAAUUCCAUUUCUAGUGGCAGUGGGCUUCCAUUUUCCACCGUCAACACUUCUAUAAAAAACUCUUAUAUAAUUAUAUAGUGGUUUGAUAUUUUUAUACAUGGCAUACCAGUAAUAUAAAUUCAACGUUAUGCUUAAUUGGUCUCUUUGCUUCUAGCACACAACGUUGAUGUUGUUGGAUUGUGAUAGUUGCGUAAACAAGAAAAAUAUUUCAUUGGACUACCUAAUUAUGCUUUGCUACACAUACCGCUUUUAUUCCGAACAUCAUGGAGGGAGUGGUAGUCUUACAUGAGACUAUUCAUGAACUGCAUCGAAAGAAGCAAAAUGGUGUAAUUCUCAAGAUAGACUUUGAGAAGGCUUAUGAUAAAAUGAGGUGGAGUUUUGUUCAAUAAACUUUGCGGAUGAAAGGUUUCUUAGAUAAACGGUGCUCUUGGAUUAAUGCUUUCAUUAGGGGUGGUCAUGUGGCAAUCAAAACAAAUGAUCAGUUGGGACAGUUUUUCAAACGAAAAAGGGGCUACGACAAGGUGAUCCCUUAUCUCCUCUCUUGUUUAAUAUUGUAGUUGACAUGUUGGCUUAUUAACCAAUAGAGCGAAACAAGUGGGUCAAUUAUCCGGCUUGGUGCCACAUUUGGUGGAUGGUGGCUUGUCGAUUCUCCAAUAUGCGGAUGACACCAUUCUGUUUAGGGUUCACGAUUUCGAGAAAGCAGUGAAUACAAAAAUGCUUUUAUGUGCUUUUGAGCAGUUAUCAGGGCUCAAAAUUAAUUUCCACAAAAGUGAGGUUUAUUGCUUUGGAGAACCAAAAACUCAAGAACAUCAAUACGCACAGCUCUUUGGUUGUAGAAAAGGGGAUUACCCGUUUAGAUACUUAGGUUUACCAAUGCAUUAUAGAAAACUAAGUGUGGCAGAUUGGAAGAUAACCGAGAACGAAUUUGAAAAGAAAUUAUCCAGCUGGAAAGGGAAAUACAUGUUCGUGGGUGGAAGGCUAGUUCUUAUUAACUCUACCCUUACAAGCCUUGCGAUGUUUAUGAUGUCUUUUUUUGAGAUCCCAAGAGGUGUUUUGGAAAAAAUGGACUAUUACAGAUCGCGGGUUUUUUUGGCAAGGGGAGGAUAAUAAGAAAACGUAUAGACUAACCAAGUGGAGUAUCAUCUGUCAACCAAGGGAGGUGGGGGUUUAGGGGUGAAAAACAUUGAUACACAAAACAAAUGCCUCUUAAGCAAAUGGUUGUUUAAACUUCUGAAUGAGGAGGGUUUAUGGCAAACCAUGUUGUAGAGGAAAUACUUGCAACAACAUACAUCACAAGCUCAACGUAGACCCUCUGAUUCGCAUUUCUGGAAGGGGCUUCUAAAAGUUAGAGAUAACUUCCUAAACUUUGGAUCCUUUCAACUUAACAUUGGCACACAUAUUAGGUUUUGGGAGGACAAAUGGUUGAGGAUAGGCAUUCUAAAAGAAAUAUACCCGCAACUAUAUGCAUUGGUUCGACAAAAAAAUGUGGUGGUUGCUAAUAUCUUCCAAACCAUUCCGCUGAAUAUUUCUUUUCGUCGGGGUCUAGUGGGGCAGCUACGCGAACAAUGGAUGGAUUUAGUGGCUCAUCUUGUUCAUGUUCGAUUAAACAUAGCGAGUGACACGUUCCAUUGGGACUUGUCGACGGAUGGAUCCUUUAGUGUUCAUUCGAUGUACAAGGUGCUAAUAACUAAUGUCAAUGUGGCGUGGCACAAAGAAAUUUGGAAGGCUAAGAUUCCUUUGAAGAUUAAAAUCUUCAAGUGGUAUUUAUAUAGUGGUGUUGUACUUACCAAAGAUAAUUUACUCAAGCGUAAUUGGAAGGGAAAUGCAAAAUGUUCUUUUUGUACCCAGAAUGAGACAAUUGAUCAUCUUUUUUCCACAACCAACUUGCUAAAUUUAUUUGGUGUUUAGUUCGAAUCAUAUAUGGUGUUCGCCACCAAACAAUAUCAGACAUAUCUUUGGUUCUUGGUUAACUGGUCUAGAUAAUAGAAUGAGAAGUCACUUUAUUCUAGCAGCUUCGGCUAUAUGUUGGGCAAUCUGGUUGAGCAGGAAUGAUGCAGUGUUUGAUAUUGCUCCAAUAAAAUCUUCUUUGCAGGUGGUUUUUGGGGCUACGCAUUGGCUCCACUUCUGGACUCAACUACAACUUAGACAGGAUGAUCAAGAACUAAUAAUCAAGGAUGGCGUAGAUUGGAGGAGUUGAUGAUGCAGAUUUUUAGACAUCAUGGAUGGGGAUCCGCAUUUAGACUUUGUCUUUAGUCUCGUUUCGCCGCACUAUGUUUUGCUUUUCUCUGAGUUCUCAUAUAGUGAUAUUCCUAUAUGAGUCUGUCAUAUUCGGUUAUAGUCUCUUUGUGACAAAGGCCGGGAACUUUCAAUUCCCAUUAUCUAAAAAAUGUACAUAGAAAGAGUCAACUCACAAAAAUAUAGAAAUAGUCACCAAUGCUUGUUUGUCUUGUCUGUCAGCUCCACACCAAACCAACAUUUGUCGUACACAUUUUAAUAGAUCAAGCACUUGAUAGCUUCUUUCAAUUGUCAUAUUAAAAAUUUAGAUUGCUGCUAGGUCCAUAUUGUUUUUCUUGAACAAAUUUACUUUUAUUUUUGUCAUCUGAAGAAAUGUUCAAAAUAUAAAUUAUACAUCAUAAUGAGUUAUACAAAUUUGUAGUUGAAAACCUUUUCAUAUGAAUUAAUUUACUGCUUUAAAAUGUGAUUUUUAAAUUGUCUUUGUCGAGUGUUAAAAAACACUCGGCAAAGAGCUUCUUUGCCGAGUGUUUUCUUUUACCGAGAGUUUUUUGCUUGGCACUCGGAAAAAACACUCGGCAAAACAAUUGGCACUCGGCAAAAAGCAGAAUUCCGGUAGUGGCCUUUUAUAUUAUUUAGAUGGCCACGUUCAGUUGUUACUAUAGCUAAUUAUAGACGAAGGAAAUUCGGAUAUGAGACGCAGGUCAAUAGAAAUUAAUAAUUUUUCACCAGCUGUCCAAUAGAGUCCGAUGAAAACUAAGUGAUUUGGAGCUAUUUCAUAGCGGCAUUUCGUUCUUCCUUUCUCACGACUCUACUCUCCACACAUCUAGCUCCCCAUGCUCGCGUCGUUGCUCUAUGACACCUCGCACCCGUUUGCACCAACACCGACUUCUCUAUCUCGAGCAGUGUCCACCAUCGUUCUCGUAUGUGUCUAGAAAAGUGAGUUUAAUUUUUGUCGGCCACCCACGCACGCAAUUUGAAUUUAUUAAGCUCAUAAGUAUUGAUCAUUGCAUGGUUAAUUUAAUAUUAGUUUGGUCAACCUAGUUACAAUAUAAUAUUUGUUGGUUAGUUUUUUAUAAUUAGAUUUUACAUUUAUCUACUAGCAAUUUUUUGUGUUUAAAUAUAAUACGGUAUUAUCAAAUAAUUUAAUUUUUAAAAGCAUAUAAAAUAUCGAUAGGUUCAUAAAUUGUAUGUCAAUCGUUUCGAUCGGCAUACUUCAUAUGUGCCUCACAUGUGAGAUAUAUUGUUUUAGAAUCAUUUCUAUUUGGACAGUUUUAUGACAACUGACUAUAUGCUAUUUAUGGACAAUCUAGGUUUGCCGAGGGUGUGUAAAGGAACAUGGUGAAAAGAUAAUAAAAUUAUGCAUAAGCAACUUAAUAUUUUUAUAUAUGUCAUAUCAUCACUACUAGAAAAAUGGUCUUUAAUUUACAAACAACGAGGUGUGUUGUUACUAAAAAUGGCAAUGGAGCGUUGAUUCGUGAUUUUCCGAGGAGAAUUCCUUCAUUAGAGGAUGAGAAGUUUUUCCCCCACGGGAAUGUAAAUGGGGAAUAAUUCUCCCCGACGAGUAAACAGGGAUAGAGAUGGCCAGGGAAUUAUUUCACAUCCCGGUUUCCCUUGGGAGCGUUAAACUUGCACAUGGCAAUGAUGUCAUCUAACCGUUAAUAAUAAAAAUAAAUAAUUACCAUAUUAAGAGAUCACUUAUUAUACAAAUAUGUUCAUUUUGAUGUAUGCAUAACAAUUUCUUACAUCAGAUAAUGUGUCUAAGUAAAAGUGUUUUGUAUUAAUAACAAAGAACGUAUGUCCUAAUUAUAAUUUAAUCAGGGACGAGUACCCUGUGGGGGAUUUAUCCUGUGGGGAAUGAGGAUGGGUAAAAAAGAUAUCCCCUAUUGAGAAAAAAAUUGUCACGGAAACGGGAUAGAGAGCUAUUCUCCAACAAGAAAUUUUCCGUUGCCAUCGUUAAUUGUUUCGGUUGGUUUGUUGUGGAACUGAAAGAUGUAUUUAUUCCCCAAUUCACAAAAGCAAAAAAAUGGUCAAAAAGUAAACACUAGGAAAAAUAAUCUAAUCUGACUCGUCAAUUGGUCAUGGAUGAUGAUACGCAGAUUGUUGGAUAUAGUUACGACGCUAUAUGAGGUGCAAAAAGUAAUUAAAGAUAUUACUCUCUACGUACUUUUUUAAUUGCCGCGGUUUAGUUUAAAAAUUAACUAGCAAGCAACAAAUAUUCGAGAACGGAGGUAGUAUAUACGAAGGUGGUGUGCUUUAAUUUCUCGCUGUUGACUUCUUUUUUUGGGCUGGGUGGGGGGGGGGAGGGGUGACUCUUUCAAUAUAUGUUGGUGAGCACAAGAUUAGAGACAUGUUUGUUUCGCUGUCUAACUUACUACACAUUGUCAAACUUUUCUGUUUAAAAUUAGUUCUUCAAUUCGGACCACUAAUCUUAAGCAAAUAGACCCUAGAUGGUUCAAUAAACAUUUUUUCUUGUUUAGCCAACUAUCACAGUCCAGCAACGGCAACACGGUCUUCAACAAAAUUGAAAGGACAGAGUACACGAAAAGUAUGGUAGGUUUAAACGUUCAAUUAAGAUGCUGGGCAGGUUCUAGAUGCUGGAGACUACUUCAAGUCGCCUGAUUACUAGACAUUUUAAAAUUUGGUUCACGUACUAUGUGAUUACUAGAAAUCUUCAACACGUAUGCAUGGUUUAAACACUGAAAUAAGAUAACCUGUAUUGUGUCAUCAGCAGGUCCGGGCUGCUAGAGACUAUUUCUUCAGGUCGGCUGAUAUGUUCAACCAAAGACUUAUUCAGCCACUGAUAUGUACACGUCGCCACAUGCGCUGUGGCAGGCUAUAUAACCUCACCAUCUCCAUGCCCAAAGCAUCAACAACAUACACACAAGCAAAACAAAAAGCUAAGAAGCUCCGUAGCUAAAUUCAGAUAUUACAAACACAAAAAAGGAGUGCAGAACCAAAAUGGCUGCCUCGACCUUCCUUCUCAUUGCUUUUCUAGCAUUGAUCACUUCUCAGGCCAUUGCCUCUGAUCCUAGCCCGCUCCAAGACUUCUGUGUUGCCGAUAAAGACUCUCCGGGUAUGAGUGCUCUCCUUUUGACUCAAGCAGUGUUCUUAUAAUAUAUACCUGAUUAAAUAAGGAUCAUUUGUUCAAACACACAUCUACAUACAAUAAGCAUUUCGGGGUAUAUAUAUGCAUGUCCUAUUAACCUGUUCUCCAUCUAACUGUUUGUCUUCGUCUAUGCAUGCAUCCAGUGAAGGUGAAUGGAUUUGUUUGCAAGGACCCUAUGGCUGUGAACGCUGACGACUUCUUCAAGGCUGCAAAACUUGACCAGCCAAGGGACACCACCAAAAGCAAGGUGGGAUCCAACGUUACUCUAAUCAAUGUCAUGCAGCUGCCUGGACUCAACACGUUGGGGAUCUCGUUGGCUCGCAUUGACUACGCACCAUUAGGUCAGAAUCCUCCACACACACACCCACGUGCCACUGAGAUCCUCACUGUGCUUGAGGGGACACUCUACGUCGGAUUUGUCACCUCCAACCAAGCUGAUAGAAGCAACAGGCUAUUUGCCAAGGUUCUCAACAAGGGCGAUGUGUUUGUAUUCCCCCAAGGACUAAUCCACUUCCAGUUCAACCCAGUACAUGACAAGCCAGCAGUCGCGCUCGCUGCUCUAAGUAGCCAGAACCCUGGAGCUAUUACUAUUGCCAAUGCAGUCUUUGGAUCAAAGCCACCUAUCUCGGAUGAUGUCCUAGCUAAGGCCUUUCAAGUGCAAAAGGGGACAAUUGAUUGGCUUCAAGCUCAGUUCUAGGAGAACAACCACUACUGAAAAA